CCUACGGGUGACAGCAGUAGGGAAUCUUUCACAAUGGGCGAAAGCCUGAUGGAGCAACGCCGCGUGCAGGAUGCAGGCCUUCGGGUUGUAAACUGCUUUUAUAAGCGAGAAAUAUGAUGGUAACUUAUGAAUAAGGAUCGGCUAACUACGUGCCAGCAGCCGCGGUCAUACGUAGGAUCCGAGCAUUAUCCGGAGUGACUGGGUGUAAAGAGUUGCGUAGGUGGCAUAAUAAGUAGCUAGUGAAAUCUGGUGGCUCAACCAUUCAGACUAUUAGCUAAACUGUUAAGCUCGAGACCGUUAGGGGUAACUGGAAUUUCUAGUGUAGGAGUGAAAUCCGUAGAUAUUAGAAGGAACACCAAUAGCGUAGGCAGGUUGCUGGGACGGUUCUGACACUAAGGCACGAAAGCGUAGGGAGCAAACGGGAUUAGAUACCCGUGUAGUC
rnacentral:rRNA from 1 species